AACGAACGCUGGCGGCAUGCCUAACACAUGCAAGUCGAACGAGACCCCUGACUUCGGUUGGCGGGUCUAGUGGCGCACGGGUGCGUAACGCGUGGGAAUCUGCCCUUGGGUUCGGAAUAACUCAGAGAAAUUUGAGCUAAUACCGGAUGAUGACGAAAGUCCAAAGAUUUAUCGCCCAGGGAUGAGCCCGCGUAAGAUUAGCUUGUUGGUGGGGUAAUGGCCUACCAAGGCGACGAUCUUUAGCUGGUCUGAGAGGAUGAUCAGCCACACUGGGAUUGAGAUACGGCCCAGACUCCUACGGGAGGCAGCAGUCGAGAAUAGUCUACAAUGGCCGGAAGGCUGAUAGUGCGACGCCGCGUGAACGAGGGAGCCCUUCGGGGUGUAAAGUUCUUUUCUAUACGAGCAGUGCUAUAUAUAUGGAUAGUAUAUAUAGAGGGAUAGUAGUAUAGGAAUAAGCAACGGCUAACUCCGUG
rnacentral:rRNA from 1 species